AUUAAAUUUAAGUUAAUUAGUAAUUAAUAGAUUGAAUUUUAAUAAAGUUUAUAAAAUUUAAUUUUUGUUUAAAUAUUAGUAAUAUUAUUUUUAAAUUUAAUUAAAAUAUAAAUAAAAUAUUUUUAAAGUAUAAGUAAAUUUUUAUAAACUAAAAUAAUUUAAAUAAUUAUUUUUAAUUAUUAUAUAUUAUAUUAUGAAGUACUUAAUAUUAUAGAUAUUUUAAUGAAGAUUAAUAUAGAUAAUUAAAAUAUAAUUAAUAAAUUUUUGUGCCAGCAAUUGCGGUUAUACAGAAGAUUAAAAUUAAUUUUUUAGAUGGAUUUAAUUAAUUGAUAAUGAAUUACAAAAUUUAAAUAAUUAAAUUUAAAAUUUUAGGUAGAAUUUAAUUUUAAAAAAAAUAUUUAUUUUGUAAUGAUGAUGAUUAAUUUAAUAAAUUUUAUUGUAAACUAGGAUUAGAUACCCUAUUAUGAAAAUAUAAAAUUGAAUUUAAGUUUGGUUAGUAAUUAAUUAUUAUGAAAACUAUAAAAUUUGGCAGUAUUUAAUGUUUUUUUAGGGGAACUUGAUUUAUAAUUGAUGAUACACGAAAGGAAUUACUUGAUUUUUUUUUAUAUAUUUCCGUUAACAGAAAUUUUUUUUAGAAUUUUAAAUUUCAUAAAUAUUUAUAAAUAAUAUUUAUUUCAGGUCAAAAUGUAGAAUAAUUAAGUAAAAUUGAGUUACAAUAAAAUUAAUUUUGGUUUAGAUUUAUAUUUUUAAUAUUAUAUUGAAAUAGGAUUUAAAAGUAAAUUUAAUUUAAUUAAUUAAAUUGAUUAAAAUAAUUAAAUGUGUACAAAUAGCCCGUCAUUCUUAAUUAAAUAAGACAAGUCGAAACAUAGUAAUGUUACCGGAAGGUGAUGUUAAGAUUAUAUUUAAAU
rnacentral:ncRNA from 1 species